rnacentral:rRNA from 1 species
AUGCUCCUCCUCACAAGGCUGGCCAAACCCGGGUGCUGCUCUCCGACGACCUCCCCGCGUGUCGCCCAUGCUGCUCUCGGCUGGAACCGAUUCUUCCACACCGGCGACGCACACAAUGUGUUCGGUGCGAUGCCUGCACCGGACCACAGGCAGUGCAGUGAACUUCUCAGGUCGCGCACCGCGAGCGGGGAUCACUACGGGUCCGUCUGCCUCGUCCGCGGGAUGCUCGGGCGGGGCCUCCGGCCCGACAGGCUCGCGCUCGCCGCGGCGAUCAAGUCGGCGUCGGCGCUCCCCGAUGGCGGCGCCCUGGGGAGGUGCCUCCACGGGUUUGUUGUCAGGCUCGGGAACGCCACGGGCGUGGCGGUGGCGAAGGCGAUCAUGGACAUGUACGGGAGGCGUGGGGCUCUCACGGACGCCCGCCUAGUGUUUGAUGAAAUGGGCUGCCUUGACGCGGUAUGUUGGAACAUCCUGAUCACUGGGGCCUCCCGGGCUGGGUAUUUUGACGACGUAUUUGCCUUGUUCCGGUCGAUGCUUGCGUGUGGUGUAGAUGAGAGCAUGCCGACUGCGGUGACGGUGGCUGUCGUCAUUCCGGUAUGUGCAAAGUUGAGAGAUUUAACGGCUGGGAGGAGUGUCCAUGGCUAUGUCGUCAAGACUGGGUUGGAAUCUGAUACUUUGUGUGGGAAUGCAUUGGUAUCCAUGUAUGCAAAAUGUGGUGCAGGUGGAAUCACGGAUGAUGUGCAUAGAGCCUUUUCUUCAAUUCAUUGCAAGGAUGUUGUUUCAUGGAAUUCGAUCAUCGCAGGAUACUCCGAGAAUGGGUUGUUCGAAGAAGCACUCGUACUAUUUGGUCAGAUGAUCUCAGAGGAAUGUCUUCCGAAUUAUUCAACGGUAGCUAAUAUUCUUCCUGUAUGCUCGUUCAUGGAGUAUGGGAGUAACUAUGGCAAAGAAGUUCAUGGUUUCGUGUUCCGGUUUGGCUUAUAUAUGGACAUAUCUGUUUGUAAUGCGCUGAUAACUCAUUAUUCCAAGGUGUGUGAAAUGAGGGUUGUGGAAUCAAUAUUCAGAAGUAUGAAUUCAAGAGAUAUUGUUACAUGGAACACAAUAAUUGCUGGAUAUGUGAUGAACGGGUGCAACUCUAGGGUGUUAGGCCUGUUCCGUAGGCUUCUGUCUACAGGAAUGACCCCUGAUUCUGUUUCUUUCAUUAGUCUGCUCACUGCUUGUGCUCAAGUAGGUGAUGUCAAAGGAGGGAUGGCAGUUCAUGGUUAUAUUUAUCGGCAUCCAGUACUUUGUCAGGAAACACCCUUAAUGAAUGCUCUUAUUAGUUUCUAUAACCAGUGUGACAGAUUUGAUGAUGCUCUUCAUUCUUUCGCUGAUAUUUUGGACAAGGAUUCAGUAUCAUGGAAUGCAAUUCUAUCGGGCUGUGCUAACAGAAAAGAACAUAUUGAGGAGUUCGCCAAACUCUUCUGUGAAAUGUGCCGCAAGGUAACUCGUUGUGACUCAGUCACAAUCUUGAAUUUUAUCCGCAUGAGUACCUUCUGUGGUGCUAAGAGGGUCCGGGAAGCUCAUGGAUAUACCUUGCGAGUUGGUUAUAUUGGGGAAAUAUCAGUUGCAAAUGCUAUUCUCGAUGCAUAUGCAAAGUGUGGUCAGCCGCAGGAUGCAGAUACACUUUUCAGAAACCUAGCCGGCCGGAACAUUGUAACAGGCAAUACUAUGAUUUCUUGCUACCUGAAAAAUAACAGUGUAGAGCAAGCUGAGAGAAUCUUCAACCAAAUGCCUGAGAAAGAUAGGACAACAUGGAAUCUCAUGAUCCAGUUGUAUGCACGCAAUAAUAUGUCUGAUCAAGCUUUCUGCCUGUUUCAUCAGUUGCAGUGUCCCGAUACUGUUGGCAUUACAAAUAUUCUCCUGGCUUGCAUCCAUUUGAGUUCGGUACAACUUGUGAAACAAUGCCAUGGCUACAUGCUCAGAGCAUCCCUAGAAGACAUCCAUCUUGAAGGAGCUCUUCUUGAUGCAUAUUCAAAGUGCGGGAAUAUAACCAAUGCAUACAACCUAUUUCGACUCGGCCCUAACAAAGACCUUGUCAUAUUCACUGCCAUGAUAGGAGGCUAUGCAAUGCAUGGAAUGGCAGAAGAGGCAGUGGAGCUGUUUUAUGAAAUGCUUACACUUGACAUUAAGCCAGACCAUGUAGCUCUAACUGCUCUGCUGUCAGCCUGCAGUCAUGCUGGGCUUGUUGAUGCAGGAAUCAAGGUUUUCAAGUGCGCCAGAGAUAUUUACAGAGUUGAACCGACAGCAGAGCACUACACAUGCAUGGUUGACCUUCUUGCCCGCAGCGGGCGUCUCCAAGACGCAUACAGUUUUGCGUUGGAUAUGCCCCCUCACAUGGCCAAUGCAAAUGUAUGGAGCUCUCUGCUAGGAGCAUGCAAGGUCCAUGGAGAGGUCGGAAUCGGCCAACUCGCAGCUGAUCACUUGUUCUCCAUGGAGGCCGGGGACAUAGGGAACUAUGUCAUUGUGUCAAACAUCUAUGCAGCUGAUGAGAAAUGGGACGGUGUGGAGCAUGUCAGGAAAUUGAUGAAGUCCAAGGAUAUGAAGAAACCUGCAGGAUGCAGCCAGGCACUUGUUUAUAGCCAGUGA